AAUUUAGUCAAAACAACCAAAAGCCCAUGUCAUCAUCAGACUCCUCAGAUUCUUCUUUGUUUGCUUCCACUUUCUUCUCAGCUGGAGCAGCAGCAGUGGAGUGGGCAGGACUGGUGCAGCACCAGCUGCUGGAGCAGGUCCACCAGCCCCUACAUUGUAGAUGAGGCUCCCAAUGUUGACAUUGGCCAGGGCCAUUGCAAACAAGCUGGACCAAAAAGGUUCAACAUUUACACCAGCUGCUUUAACGAGGGCAUUGAUCUUAUCCUCCGUGAUGGUCACCUCAUUGUCAUGCAGAGUGAGGGCUGAGUAGAUGCAGGCGAGCUCGGAGACAGAGGACAUGGUAUGGGCAAGUGUGGGGCUGGCGCUGCCGGACGUGGUGGUAGUUGCCGGAUGAAGUGAGGGCCUCAUCCCAACGUGGCCUUAGCUUCCUUGGAAGGACCAAGCACUGUGGUGGCAGCUGAGGAAAGGACGAUCUGCUUUAUUUCUGUGAUCUACCAUCUACUAGUCU
rnacentral:lncRNA from 1 species